UUCAGGGUCCCAGCAUUUUUGCGUUUCGAGAUACCACUUGCCGCCUACAAAAACUCCAAGGAACGAUAAACACUCCUGUCUACCGUUAUAAAAAGGUAUGCAAAGGGAAUCUCUUCAAGGAAAACCCAAUUGGUGGACUAUACGAAUAUCCUUUUCCUUUUAACAUA